UACGGAGGGUGCAAGCGUUAUCCGGAUUCACUGGGUGUAAAGGGUUCGUAGGCGGUGCGGCAAGUCGGGAGUGAAAUCUCUGGGCUUAACCCAGAGGCUGCUUCCGAAACUGCUGUGCUUGAGUGUGGGAGAGGCGCGUGGAAUUGCAGGUGUAGCGGUGAAAUGCGUAGAUAUCUGCAGGAACACCCGUGGCGAAAGCGGCGCGCUGGACCACUACUGACGCUGAGGAACGAAAGCUAGGGGAGCAAACAGG
rnacentral:rRNA from 1 species